CGCCGCCUCGCGUCGCUUUAAGGCGGAGGCCCGGGAGGGGGCCGACCCCGCCCGCCCGCUCGCCUCGCGGCUCCAGACUUCGGCAUUUCCUCCCCGCUAGCUGGCGCGGCUUCGCCUCCCCUCGGAAGAGGAAACUCCCGUGGCCGAGUAACGGGAACAAGAGCGGAGGGGAGCAGCGGGGGACUCCGGAGACCCACGGCGCCGGGAGGGCGGCCCGAGAGUUGAUAAGUCUUGGAGACUGUGUCCAGCUGGGAAGAGAAUCCAUCUGCCAAGCUCUGAAUCAGAAAUCAGAAACCCAAGUUCUCACUCCAGCUGUGCCAGUGGUCCUGUUGUUUCCUAGCUGCUGCUGCUGCUGCUGGUCUGGGACCACACUCCUGGAACUACUGAACAGGAAGGAAACAGCUAUGAGGUAAGUUUCCUGAAACAGGAAGAGAAUUUCAGACCCAGAUGAGAAGAAUGUUGGGAAACAAAGAAACUUGCCGGUUUCCCACAACUGAACAAUAAUCUGUAAGUAUCAAAUUUGUUACGAGGUAUUUCACAGUUGACAUAAAUUGCAUCAAAGGUUUUGACAAACAGAGCUGCCAUAUGAUCCAGCAAUCCCACUCCUGGGCAUAUAUCCAGACAAAACUGUAAUUCAAAAAGAUACAUGC